AGCAGCAGGAAGCUCCAAAACAAGUGACGUGGGAGGCAAAAGCUCCCUGGAGAGCUCUGGAGCUCAGCCACGCUUCCAAAAACGGAGAUCCCAGCAGGAUUCCACCCCGGGAGAACCCCGGGAAUGUCGGGGGGCUGCUGGACAUGGGCUGGGCUUGCUGGGGUCCUGUUCUUAUUACCCCGGUCCUAAACCUCCACAAAAACCAGGAUGAAAUCCAGGACAUUGAUGGAUGAACCUGGAGAUCUCGAUUUGUGGCUGAACAAAGAGGAACAACAACUCAGCUUUCUGGCCUGCAACCACUUUUCUUCUCCAAAUGUUGCCGGAGACUCCUGGAAAAUCCCUCCACGGCUGGGAAGAAGAGCAGGCAACAUUGACACC